rnacentral:rRNA from 1 species
UACAGAGGUCUCAACCGUUGUUCGGAUUCAUUGGGCGUAAAGGGUGCGUAGGCGGUCGUGCAAGUCGGAUGUGAAAUCUCAGGGCUCAACCCUGAAACUGCAUUCGAUACUGCGUGGCUAGAGUGCUGGAGAGGAGACUGGAAUUUACGGUGUAGCAGUGAAAUGCGUAGAUAUCGUAAGGAAGACCAGUGGCGAAGGCGAGUCUCUGGACAGCAACUGACGCUGAGGCACGAAAGCCAGGGGAGCAAACGGG